UGCUACAAGUGGGCACACUCAUCA
rnacentral:piRNA from 1 species